CCGGCGACCGGCGCACGGGUGAGUAACACGUAUGCAACCUGCCCGUGGCAGGGGGAUAAGCGGGGGAAACCCCGUCUAAUACCGCGUAACGCGGCCUAGGGACAUCCCAAGGCCGCCAAAGGGAGCAAUCCCGGCCGCGGAUGGGCAUGCGGCGCAUUAGCUAGACGGCGGGGUGACGGCCCACCGUGGCGACGAUGCGUAGGGGUUCUGAGAGGAAGGCCCCCCACACUGGGACUGAGACACGGCCCAGACUCCUACGGAAGGCAGCAG
rnacentral:rRNA from 1 species